rnacentral:rRNA from 1 species
UACGAAGGGGGGCUAGCGUUGCUCGGAAUCACUGGGCGUAAAGCGCACGUAGGCGGAUUGCUAAGUCAGGGGUGAAAUCCUGGAGCUCAACUCCAGAACUGCCUUUGAUACUGGCGAUCUUGAGUCCGGAAGAGGUGAGUGGAACUCCGAGUGUAGAGGUGAAAUUCGUAGAUAUUCGGAAGAACACCAGUGGCGAAGGCGGCUCACUGGUCCGGUACUGACGCUGAGGUGCGAAAGCGUGGGGAGCAAACAGG